rnacentral:rRNA from 1 species
GUUGAACGCUGGCGGCAGGCCUAACACAUGCAAGUCGAGCGGAUAAAGGGAGCUUUCUCCUGGCUUCAGCGGCGGACGGGUGAGUAAUGCCUAGGAAUCUGCCUGGUAGUGGGGGAUAACGUCCGGAAACGGGCGCUAAUACCGCAUACGUCCUGAGGGAGAAAGUGGGGGAUCUUCGGACCUCACGCUAUCAGAUGAGCCUAGGUCGGAUUAGCUAGUUGGUGAGGUAAAGGCCUACCAAGGCGACGAUCCGUAACUGGUCUGAGAGGAUGAUCAGUCACACUGGAACUGAGACACGGUCCAGACUCCUACGGGAGGCAGCAGUGGGGAAUAUUGGACAAAGGGCGAAAGCCUGAUCCAGCCAUGCCGCGUGUGUGAAGAAGGUCUUCGGAUUGUAAAGCACUUUAAGUUGGGAGGAAGGACAGUAAGUUAAUACCUGGAUGUUUUGACGUUACCAAAAGAAUAAGCACCGGCUAACUACGUG